GAUGAACGCUAGCGGCAGGCUUAAUACAUGCAAGUCGAGGGGCAACAGGGGUAGCAAUACCUGCUGGCGACCGGCAAACGGGUGCGCAACACGUACAGAACCUUCCUUUAAGCGGGGGAUAGCCCAUAGAAAUGUGGAUUAAUACCCAAUGGUAAUGUUGAGUGGCAUCACUUGAUAUUUAAAGAUUUAUCACUUAAAGAUGGCUGUGCGUCUGAUUAGGUAGNGGUGUAGGUAACGGCUCACCAAGCCAACGAUCAGUAACUGGUGUGAGAGCACGACCAGUCACACGGGCACUGAGACACGGGCCCGACUCCUACGGGAGGCAGCAGUAAGGAAUAUUGGUCAAUGGAGGCAACUCUGAACCAGCCAUGCCGCGUGAAGGAU
rnacentral:rRNA from 1 species